rnacentral:rRNA from 1 species
GACGAACGCUGGCGGCGUGCUUAACACAUGCAAGUCGAACGAAGAGCGCUGGAAGUUUGCUUCUGUCCAUCUUAGUAGCGAGCGGGUGAGUAACGCGUAAUCAACCUGCCCUUCAGAGGGGGACAACAGUUGGAAACGACUGCUACUACCGCAUACUACCUAAUCUUGGCGUCGAGGAGAGAUGAAAGGUGGCCUCUGCAUGUAAGCUAUCACUGCAGGAGGGGAUUGCGUCUGAUUAGCUAGUUGGAGGGGUAAGGGCCCACCAAGGCGAUGAUCAGUAGCCGGUCGGAGAGGAUGAACGGCCACAUUGGGACUGAGACACGGCCCAGACUCCUACGGGAGGCAGCAGUGGGGAAUCUUCCGCAAUGGACGAAAGUCUGACGGAGCAACGCCGCGUGAGUGAUGACGGCCUUCGGGUUGGAAAGCUCUGUUAAUCGGGACGAAAGGCCUUCUUGCGAAUAGUGAGAAGGAUUGACGGUACCGGAAUAGAAAGCCACGGCUAACUACGUG